GUUAUUUUCAAAAAUUUGAGCUAUAGUAUCUCUUCUGUGUGAUUGAAGCAGAUGGGCCAGCAUUUGCUCCCCACAUGCAUCGAUGAGUCUUGGCCAGCCAUAACUCUGACACCAGUUCAUUGGCUGUCCUUCCUUGCUUUACUAUUGGUAGGUACUAAUCACUGCAUUUCAGGAACACCACCCAAGACUUGCCAUUUUGGAGAUGCCAUUACUAUUUGGCCCUUUUAGAAGUUACUCAAAUCUUUUUGCUUGACAAUUUUGCCCCUGAUUCCAACAAAUUAAAUUCAAGAACUGACUGUUAACUUGCUUCCUAAUAUAGCCCACCCUUUGACAGAUGCAAUUGUUAUGAUAGAGUCAGUGUUAUUAACUUUACCUGUCAGUGGUUUUAAUGUUGUGGCUGAUUAGUGUAAUGUUGGAAUCAAUUGUGGUAAGGUAUGCUAAACCCUCCUCUGGCAUCACCUAUUACAGGACUGCAUGGCCAAUAUAGGUCAUUCACUGCAUGGGGCAUAUUUUGUAAAACAACUGAAAAAUGAUGACUGUGGGAAAAGAAAUUUAAACAAAAAGAGAUUCCCCAAGCUGUUCGAACAAAUGUUAUGUAUGCCCCUAACAUGGGGUUAAUAGGGAAAUUAUAUUCACAUGACCAUCAGCUGGAAUUUGGGUUAAUGGGGCUUCCAAUAAUCAAGUAGACAUCAAAAACGACACUUGGUAAGAAUGUCCUUUUUGCCUCUGUGCUAAAUCUGCUGAAACUGAAGUUGUUCUUGUUGGUGAUUCAGCAAAUCAGUCUGUGGAUGGCUUCCACUAGGUUAAUGUCGAACAUAAAGUAUCAGCUUAUGCUGACAGCCUCUUAUUUUUUUUUAACAAACCUGCAUAUUCCUCGUGAAUAUUAUUGUGAAAUUUUGGAAUUACUGCAAGUUUAGCAACUUUAAUCUUAGUAUGGAUAAAUCUGAUGUUCUUAGUGUGACCUCACCGGUUGCUUUAAUGACCUUUCUGCAGCAGAAAUUUCCUUUAAGUGGUGCUCUGAUAAUCUGACAUAUUUGGGAGUUGUGGUGCCCUGUGAUCUUACUAUACUUUACUAACUUAAUUUUGUCUCCAUACUCAAUAGAUUCCAAAGUGACAUAAAAAUUAAUUUCUUGGUUAUUAUACCUUUUUCACACUAUUACUGUUCAGUUGCUCAAAACUUACUUCUACUUAUUAAAUUCUGCUCUGCUGAGAUGUGUGUGUUUUUCUUUGCUUAAUGCUACCCAAGUUGCUUGUUUGUCUGUGUCUCCAGUAUUUCCGUGGGUUUUACCAGGCUGUCCAUUAUGCUAAUAUAGUGGAAUGGCAUAAGAUACACUCCCUCAAACAUUGACCAUUGCUAGAAGUUAAAUAUAGCUGACAGAAGAAUCCCAGAGCCAUGCUGGCUAGAUGCUGAGGAAUUUCCUCAACAGAUUCAUUACCAC